GCGGCCUAUCAGCUUGUUGGUGAGGUAAUGGCUCACCAAGGCGACGACGGGUAGCCGGCCUGAGAGGGCGACCGGCCACACUGGGACUGAGACACGGCCCAGACUCCUACGGGAGGCAGCAGUGGGGAAUAUUGGGCAAUGGAGGAAACUCUGACCCAGCGACGCCGUGUGAGGGAUGAAGGCCUUCGGGUUGUAAACCUCUUUCAGUAGGGAAGAAGCGAAAGUGACGGUACCUACAGAAGAAGCACCGGCUAACUAUGUGCCAGCAGCCGCGGUAAUACAUAGGGUGCAAGCGUUGUCCGGAAUUAUUGGGCGUAAAGAGCUCGUAGGUGGUUCGAUACGUCGGAUGUGAAAAUCAGGGGCUCAACCCCUGACCUGCAUCCGAUACGGUCGAGCUAGAGUUUGGUAGGGGAGACUGGAAUUCCU
rnacentral:rRNA from 1 species